rnacentral:rRNA from 1 species
UACGUAGGGUGCGAGCGUUAAUCGGAAUUACUGGGCGUAAAGCGUGCGCAGGCGGUCUGUUAAGACCGAUGUGAAAUCCCCGGGCUUAACCUGGGAACUGCAUUGGUGACUGGCAGGCUUUGAGUGUGGCAGAGGGAGGUAGAAUUCCACGUGUAGCAGUGAAAUGCGUAGAGAUGCGGAGGAACACCGAUGGCGAAGGCAGCCCCCUGGGCCAACACUGACGCUCAGGCACGAAAGCGUGGGGAGCAAACAGG